rnacentral:rRNA from 1 species
GGGGAAUAUUGGACAAUGGGCGAAAGCCUGAUCCAGCCAUGCCGCGUGUGUGAAGAAGGUCUUCGGAUUGUAAAGCACUUUAAGUUGGGAGGAAGGGCAGUAAGUUAAUACCUUGCUGUUUUGACGUUACCAACAGAAUAAGCACCGGCUAACUUCGUGCCAGCAGCCGCGGUAAUACGAAGGGUGCAAGCGUUAAUCGGAAUUACUGGGCGUAAAGCGCGCGUAGGUGGUUCGUUAAGUUGGAUGUGAAAUCCCGGGGCUCAACCUCGGAACUGCCUUUGAUACUGGAAGUCUGGAGUCCGAGAGAGGUGAGUGGAACUCCGAGUGUAGAGGUGAAAUUCGUAGAUAUUCGGAAGAACACCAGUGGCGAAGGCGGCUCACUGGCUCGGUACUGACGCUGAGGUGCGAAAGCGUGGGGAGCAAACA